CACGUAGGGUCCGAGCGUUGUCCGGAAUUACUGGGCGUAAAGCGUGCGCAGGCGGUUGGGUCAGUCGCUGGUGAAAGCCCCACGCUCAACGUGGGAAUGGCCAACGAGACGGCCCGACUGGAGGCAGGGAGAGGCCGGUGGAAUUCCGGGUGUAGUGGUGAAAUGCGUAGAGAUCCGGAAGAACACCGGUGGCGAAGGCGGUCUGCUGGGCCAACACUGACGCUGAGGCGCGACAGCGUGGGGAGCAAACAGG
rnacentral:rRNA from 1 species